rnacentral:lncRNA from 1 species
GGCUGGGGUUUAGGGCUAGGGACUCCCGAGGCCCCUUAACCCCUUAAAGCCUGGGGAAAGGGAGAGCCUGAAGGCUGAAGGAAGAGGGGAAGGUGUGCAUAGGGGCCAGGGGCAGAGAUGCAGGUUCAGGGAUUAAGAGCAUGAAGUGAGAAGGAAGAGCAAAGGCAGAACAACAGGGGCUCCAUUCCUGGCUGCAGCACUCCAAGUCGGCUGAACCUCUCGCAUCUGGAUCUUCUUCUGGACCUCAGUUUUCUUCAUUGUCUAGCUCUUAAUGGGACAGGCAGCUCCCGCCAUGGCCUCUUAGAGCUCUGCACUGCCAUGAGAAAGGUUAACUACCUGCUAGAGUGACCACCUGAAGAAGCCUUGAAUUUACAUGGAGAGGAAGAGGGACCCUGCUGACUUCAGCAUCCCCAUCAUCUUCACUAUGGUGCCAGGUAUCCAAGUAAAACCAUCCUGAUGCCCCAGAUUGGUUCAAGCAUCAGACACAUACCACGGAAUAGUUCCAGUCACUCUGACUCCAUGGAUCACUGAGUCCUUCCUGAAUAUUUGACCUACAAAUCUGUAGAAAAAGAAAUGGUCAUUGGGGAAAGUUUGCGAUGUAACCAUACACAACCAGCUCAGUCCAACCAAAACAAAAAAAGGGCCUGGGAUUUAGCUCAGUGGUUCUCGCGCCUGUCUCACAAGCAGAAGGAUCCGAGUUCCAUCCCUGGUACUAAAACAACAAAGCAAACAAACAAACCAAACACAACCAGCUCAGUCCAAGAGGCAGAAUCUUUGUGCUAAGAAUGUUGCAGCCACUGAUCCAGCUCUGGCCUGGCUAUCUCUAUGUUCUUGUUAAAUGUGAAAAAUAAACCUAGUUUGCUUAAGCCUGGAUGGCACCUUGGGCUACUGCUAGGGGCCUCAGUUUUCCUGCCAUUGAUAAGUGAACAUUUGGCUCCUCCUUAUUAUCUCUCAAGGGUUAUUAUCCCUGAGAAGGUGGAGUAAGAAUCAAGAAGAAAAAGGCUUUUUCAUUAAUAUAAACAGUGCUUCUGUCCCACAAGACCAGUUAACAACACGCUUGAACAUUCAUUAUAUAUUUAGUGUGCUCAUAAUGGGUGUGAGCCUGUCACAGACCAACUGCAGUGGAUUUGGGAAUUAGACACAUCAGGGCUGGUG